UACGUAGGGUCCGAGCGUUGUCCGGAAUUAUUGGGCGUAAAGGGCUCGUAGGCGGUCUGUCACGUCGGGAGUGAAAACUCAGGGCUCAACCCUGAGCGUGCUUCCGAUACGGGCAGACUAGAGGUAUGCAGGGGAGAACGGAAUUCCUGGUGUAGCGGUGGAAUGCGCAGAUAUCAGGAAGAACACCCGUGGCUAAGGCGGUUCUCUAGUACGGUACUGACGCUGAGACGCGAAAGCGUGGGGAGCGAACAGG
rnacentral:rRNA from 1 species